rnacentral:rRNA from 1 species
AUUGAACGCUGGCGGCAUGCUUUACACAUGCAAGUCGAACGGCAGCGCGGGCUUCGGCCUGGCGGCGAGUGGCGAACGGGUGAGUAAUACAUCGGAACGUGCCCAGUAGUGGGGGAUAGCUCGGCGAAAGCCGGAUUAAUACCGCAUACGACCUGAGGGUGAAAGCGGGGGAUCUUCGGACCUCGCGCUAUUGGAGCGGCCGAUGGCAGAUUAGCUAGUUGGUGGGGUAAAGGCCUACCAAGGCGACGAUCUGUGGCUGGUCUGAGAGGACGACCAGCCACACUGGGACUGAGACACGGCCCAGACUCCUACGGGAGGCAGCAGUGGGGAAUUUUGGACAAUGGGCGAAAGCCUGAUCCAGCAAUGCCGCGUGUGUGACGAAGGCCUUCGGGUUGUAAAGCACUUUUGGCGGGAACGAAAAGGACUGUGCCAAUACCACGGUUCGAUGACGGUACCCGCAGAAUAAGCACCGGCUAACUACGUG